AGCACCGUGAUUUUCCGUCUCGUACCUCGAAGCAAAGUGCAACAACACUAUCCAUCGCAGGAACCCCGUUACCAAAGCGAACACUCUGGACUGGCUGUAUUGUGGCGCAGCAGGCCGUGGUGGAUGUCGUGGUGAAAUGAAGAACGGGGCGUUGUUGUUGUUGCCUCGGUCACUGUGUGCGAGACGAGCGAGGUAAGGUGUUGUGUGUUGGUUGCUUUGAUGUAUCGAGCCCACACUUCUCGAAGGUAGUCACCGUCGUCGUCGUUUCGCAGGUCGUCCGCAGCAUAGCCUACUACUCAUUGAUGAUGUGAGUCAACCAGUCAGUUCGGUCAGUUCGCAGUUAGUUUGUUAACGAACUUCGUGAAGCGUCAUUUUUCUCAAGUCUCCGGGAAAGUAUCGUGUCUCGUGCGGUUCCAGAUUGACGUUUUUCGGUGAUUUUUAUUGCGAAAGGUACAACCCAUUUGCACUCCGUUAUUGCCGGCCAGCAAUAGCAAAAACCGUCAUAAAUCGUUCCCACUCCCCAUCAUAGGAUCCGGUGGCAGCAAAUUGGCCAAUUUCCGCUACCGCAAAGCAAUCCGUCCUGGCGUUGAUGAGGCGCUGCUGGCUCCCGAUGGUGUAGUACCAUGUCAACGAUAGACGAACGCACCGCAUAUCUGGAGAAUCCCUACUUCAAAGGACACGUCUACGGCAACUUCAACCCGUUCUACGUCACCAUCGCCAUCUGCACGGUGCUGGGCGUGUUCAUCUUCGUGCUGAACAUCAUCUGCGGUUGCUGC